rnacentral:misc_RNA from 1 species
GAUGAAGAACGCAGUGAAAUGCGAUACGUAGUGUGAAUUGCAGAAUUCAGUGAAUCAUCGAAUCUUUGAACGCACAUUGCACCUCUCGGUAUUCCGGGAGGUAUGCCUGUUCGAGCGUCAUUUGUACCCUCAAGCUCUGCUUGGUGUUGGGUGUUUGUUCCGCCUCUGUGUGUGAACUCGCCUCAAAACAAUUGGCAGCCGGCGUACUUGUUUCGGAGCGCAGCACAUUUUGCGAUCCAGAUCAACGUACAGCGGCAUCCAAGAAGCCUUAUUUAACGCUCUUGACCUCGGAUCAGGUAGGGAUACCCGCUGAACUUAAGCAUAUCAAUAGAGGA